CCCUUAGAUGUCCUGGGCUGCACGCGCGCUACACUGAUGUGUCCAGUAAGCACCUAACCUCUUCCGAAAGGAACGGGUAACCUUUGCAAAGCACAUCGUGAUGGGGAUAGAUUAUUGCAAUUAUUAGUCUUGAACGAGGAAUUCCUAGUAAGCACAAGUCAUCAGCUUGUGUUGAUUACGUCCCUGCCCUUUGUACACACCGCCCGUCGCUCCUACCGCUUGAAUGUUCCGGUGAGCUCUUCGGACUGCGCGGUCUGCAGUUUCUGCGUUCCGUGCGGAAAGUUGCGCAAACCUUAACAUUUAGAGGAAGGAGAAGUCGUAACA
rnacentral:rRNA from 1 species